GACGCACGCUGGCGGCGUGCUUAACACAUGCAAGUCGAACGAGUGGCGAACGGGUGAGUAAUACGUGGGUAACCUGCCCUCUUUUUGGGAUAAGCCUUGGAAACGGGGUCUAAUACCGAAUAUCGGGGGAUGGGAUCGCGGACUGUCGGCGUGGUGGUGGGGUGAUGGCCUACCAAGGCGGUGACGGGUAGCCGGGCUGAGAGGGUGAACGGCCACAUGGGGACUGAGAUAAGGCCUAGACUCCUGCGGGAGGCAGCAGUGGGGGAUAUUGCACAGUGGGUGAAAGCCUGAUGCAGCGACGCCGUGGGGGGGAUGAAGGCUUUCGGGUUGUAAACCUCUUUCGCAAGCGAAUGGGUAGGUGGAGAAGAAGCGCCGGCUAACUACGUGCCAGCCGCCGCGGUAAUUC
rnacentral:rRNA from 1 species